UACGUAGGGAGCAAGCGUUGUCCGGAAUCAUUGGCGUAAAGCGCGCGUAGGUGGCUUCAUAAGUCCGUUGUGAAAGUCAAAGGCUCAACCUUUGAAAGCCGAUGGAUACUGUGAAGCUAGAGUACGGAAGAGGCGAGUGGAAUUCCUGGUGUAGCGGUGGAAUGCGCAGAUAUCAGGAGGAACACCAAUAGCGAAGGCAGCUCGCUGGGACGUUACUGACACUGAGGCGCGAAAGCGUGGGGAGCGAACAGG
rnacentral:rRNA from 1 species